AUUGAACGCUGGCGGAAUGCUUUACACAUGCAAGUCGAACGGCAGCACGGACUUCGGUCUGGUGGCGAGUGGCGAACGGGUGAGUAAUGUAUCGGAACGUGCCCAGUCGUGGGGGAUAACGUAGUGAAAAUUACGCUAAUACCGCAUACGAGCUAUGGAUGAAAGCGGGGGAUCGCAAGACCUCGCGCGCUUGGAGCGGCCGAUCUCAGAUUAGAUAGUUGGUGGGGUAAAGGGCCACCAAGCCAACGAUCCGUCGAUGGUCUGAGAGGACGACCAGCCACACUGGAACUGAGACACGGUCCAGACUCCUACGGGAGGCAGCAGUGGGGAAUUUUGGACAAUGGGCGAAAGCCUGAUCCAGCCAUUCCGCGUGCAGGAUGAAGGCCCUCGGGUUGUAAACUGCUUUUGUACAGAACGAAAAGGUUUCUACUAAUACUAGGAGCUCAUGACGGUACUGUAAGAAUAAGCACCGGCUAACUACGUGCCAGCCGCCGCGGUAA
rnacentral:rRNA from 1 species